GAGUGAGCGGCAAAGCUCAAAUUUGAAGCUAGCACCUUCGGUGUUCGCGUUGUAAUUUGAAGAUAGUUUCCUUGAGUAGUCCUUUAUCUAUGUUCCUUGGAACAGGACGUCAUAGAGGGUGAGAACCCCGUAUGAUUUUGGAUACUACUCUUUGUGGGAUUCUAUCGAAGAGUCGAGUUGUUUGGGAAUA
rnacentral:rRNA from 1 species